AGAUUGAACGCUGGCGGCAGGCCUAACACAUGCAAGUCGAGCGGUAGAGAGGUGCUUGCAUCUCUUGAGAGCGGCGGACGGGUGAGUAAUGCCUAGGAAUCUGCCUAGUGGUGGGGGAUAACGUUCGGAAACGGACGCUAAUACCGCAUACGUCCUACGGGAGAAAGGCGGGGGACCUUCGGGCCUCGCGCCA
rnacentral:rRNA from 1 species